UACGUAGGUGGCAAGCGUUGUCCGGAAUUAUUGGGCGUAAAGAGCUCGUAGGCGGUUUGUCGCGUCUGCUGUGAAAACUCGGGGCUUAACUCCGGGCCUGCAGUGGGUACGGGCAGACUAGAGUGCGGUAGGGGAGACUGGAAUUCCUGGUGUAACGGUGAAAUGCGCAGAUAUCGGGAAGAACACCCGUGGCGAAGGCGGGUCUCUGGGCCGAUACUGACGCUGAGGAGCGAAAGCGUGGGGAGCGAACAGG
rnacentral:rRNA from 1 species